AGUCAGUUAGAACUUUCAAUGCAGAAAUUCAGUGCCAUGCAGUCACCCGGAUAAAGCAGCACUUACCUUAAUUGAAAUUUUCUCUGUGAACGAGCCUAAUGGAUGAACUACAACUAUGAUUAUGAUUUGCAAGGAGAUUAGCUGCCGUGCUAGCCAUCGCAGGACUUAAACAAAUGUGCUUUCUCCUGCUGUUUUUCAAGGUGCCUUCGUGUAAGAUAUUAGGUACAGUGAAGCAAUUAAUAGACUGAUAGAGCUGAUUUGUAAGACAAGCUUAAAGCUGAAAAAUGUUUAAAGCGAUGUGAUCAAAGAGAUAGCUGCACUUGUCUCUGCCGCUCGCCUGCUACAUACUUCAACCUUUGUCGAACUAAAAUGAAUUUAAAGGUUUAUUACAGCCCUCCAGAGUGCAACUCUCUGAAUUUAUAAAAAGGAAGUAUUCAUACUAAAUAAGCAUAUUUGGCAGAUUGCUACAGACACAAGCACUCAAACCACGGCAUGAACACAGCCUUGCUUGUGUAGUUUUCCAAACGGCAUUUUCAAUUAGCAUUACACUUGCAAAAAAUGUUUGCAUUGUACCCUUAACCAGAGUAAUGUAGGAGAAUACAGCACUACACCUAACCGAAUCAUCUCUUUGAUUAUCUGUUGAAAUACUGAUUUCCUAAAACAAAAACAAGCAAGCAUAUGAGAGGAUCGAAAAUAUCUAACAACUUUUUAAACGUAGCUAUGUGCCGUUACCAACCUGCUGGUCCCCAUCCGUCAUCCGCUCUUUCUGCCACUGACCACCUUCUCAGCACUUCCUCAUCAAGUUCCUAGUUCCCUGAAGAGAUCUAACUCUCUGGAAAAGGUCACAUAACUGAAUGCCAAAGCCCCAAAUGGUUAAUUUUUGACAGCUCUCACUUUUGCAGGAUAAAAUUAUGCAAAUAACAUAAAAAGAACAGAUGAAAAAAGUAAUUUGCAUGUCUUGAGGGUGAGAAAAUUCUCAUUGCCAGAGAGAAAGCUGACGACUGUCCUCUCACAAUGAUCCUGAGUGAUAUGUUCAGCACUUUUGUUUUUUUCCAGUGGGUCUCACUUGGGACAUAUGGCAUUUCUUUGAUGUGUGUGUGCGUGUGUGUGUGGGUGCGUGUGCUUGCGUGUGUGUGUGAGAAAGAGAGAGAGGAAGAGCGAGAAGCUAUAUUUACAUUGUGAUAUUUAUAUAUAUCUUAGAAAACCCUCAAAUUUCAGUAGGCGAAUGCACUAAGUAUAAAUAAUAGAGAAUCCGUUUGCCUUAUACAUUCCCAAAUAUAUUUUUAAAGUAUCUCAUUAAAAUACAAGCUCUUGGUGAAACUUUUUGGACAAAGUAAAACUUCAGGGUAACUGAAUUGCUGUUACUAAGGCAGGUACUCAUCCUACUCUGAAAACGGAGACGGCCCUGCAGAAGCCCCAGGAGAUGGGGCUGUAGCCUCCCAUGCAGAGGUCUCUUGCUCCCUCAGCUGGUGGAGGGUGACAGCCGAAUGUGAAGAAACCCAGUCAACCACUUCAGGAGAGGGAGAACAAUUUUUGCUGCUGUAAAGCAGGAAACCCAUUAUCCAAUUUUAGAUUGGCAUGAGAGUGUUAUAGUAGAAAAGAGGCUGCUUACAUCGAAGUAAAUGCACCUUGAGCAUAAAUUGUAAAAAUAAGAAAAUGUAACUGCUAAUUUCUCCUGAGAGGGUUCCAACUAGUCUUUAACACAAUACUUGUAAAUAACAGUGGGAUAGAUUCCAGGGCUCUAAUGUGUAGUUGGUCAUGCAAUUAAAGCACUCCGUUUCUCGUA